GAAUGGCCGAGGAAGGGAGAGCUUAUGAUAGUGUUGGAACUGAUGUCAAGGGAAUGGCCAAGGAAGGGAGAGCUUGUGAUAUUGUUGAACUGACCUCAAGGGAAUGGCCGAGGAAGGGAGAGCUUAUGAUAGUGUUGGAACUGACCUCAAGGGAAUGUCCAAGGAAGGGAGAGCUUGUGAUAUUACUGGAACUGAUGUCAAAGGAAGGAAUAGCUUGUGGUAUCGCUGGAACUGAUGUCAAGGGAACGGCCGAGGAAGGGAGAGCUUGUGAUAUUACUGGAACUGACCUCAAGGGAAGGAAUAGCUUGUGGUAUCGCUGGAACUGAUGUCAAGGGAAUGGCCAGGGAAGGGAGAGCUUGUGAUAUUACUGGAACUGAUGUCAAAGGAAGGAAUAGCUUGUGGUAUCGCUGGAACUGAUGUCAAGGGAAUGGCCGAGGAAAGGAGAGCUUGUGAUAUUGUUGGAAGUGAUGACAAGGGAACGUCUGAACAAGGGAGAGCUAGUACCAUGGGCAUUAUUUUUGUAUUUAUCAUUAUUUGUGUGUGUGCGCGUGGCAGAACAUUGAUGAUACAUAUAAGCUUUUAAGAAGGGAUUUUGUGCUCCACUUUUUCCGAUGUCAAUAUUCAGUUUAUUAUAAUUCCACUCACUUGCUCAGUCGUGUGUUGGCAGGCUUAGAUUAGUUUGAGGUUUACUAGGUUAGGUUAGGUUAGGUUAGGCUUUGGGUAGGUUGUGUUAAUUUGAAUUUUGUUUGUUUAGGUUGAGAAUAUGUUGGGUUAGGCUUUGUUUGGUAUAGGCGAAGGAGAAUGAAAGAUUAAGAAGAGAUUGUGUUUAUAGAAGAAAAAGAGGAAAUUGAGUUUGUAUAGGUUGAGAUGAACUAUGAAUAUAUUGGGUUAGGAAUGAAAGGCAAGGAAGAAAAGAGAAAGGUGUUUGUAGAAAAAAAAAGGAUGAUUGGAUUGAAAGGAGAUUGGGCUGAACUAUAAUUUGUUGGGUUAGGUUUGGUUAGGUUAUAGAUUUAGAAGAAUGAAAGACUAAAGAAGGAAAGAAAAAGAUUGUUUAAAGAAGAAAAUUGUGUAUGUUUGAAUGAACUUUAAUAUGUUGGGUUAGGUUUGGUUAGGUAAAGAUGUAGAAGAAUGAUAGGCAAGGAGGAGAAGAAAAGGGUUGUGUUUAAAGAAGAAAAAAAUUAAAUUGAGUGUAUAGGUUGGAAUGAACUUUAAUAUUGGGUUAGGUUUGGUUAGGUAAAGAUGUAGAAGAAUGAUAGGCAAGGAGGAGAAGAAAAGGGUUGUGUUUAAAGAAGAAAAAAAUUAAAUAGAGUAUAGGUUGGAAUGAACUUUAAUAUUGGGUUAGGUUUGGUUAGGUAAAGAUGUAGAAGAAUGAAAGGAAAAAAAAUGUAUCUUUAAAUUGGGAAGAACUGUAAAAGAAAGACUGGAUAUACAAAAGAAGAAAAGGAGGAAAAUAAGAACAAGGAGGAACGGUAAAGAGAGAAAACAAAGACAAAGAAGAAAAAAGAAGAAUUUGAGCACGAAGGAACAAAAAGAGAAUGGAAAUACAAAGAAGAAAAAAAGAAGAGAAGGGAAAGACAAAGAAGAAAAGAGGGAGAAUUUGAGGAAGAAAGAACAAAAAGAAAGCAAAUACAAAGAAGAAAAGGAGAAAGAGAGGAAAAAGGAAAGAGAAAGGAAAGACAAAGAUGAAAAGAAGAAAUAGAGGAAAAGGAAAGAAGGAAAAGAAAGGAAAAUUAGGAAAAGGGAACCAGAAGAACGAAAGAUAUUAGGACGACAAUUAAGCAAACAGUCACAUAUAUAUAUUAAAAGGAAUCCAAGCCAACUAUAUUAACAAAUGGUGAAGAAAACUAACAUAACAUUUUCUUACAAUUUCGUACCUAUUUAUAUAACUGGUGUCGCCCCCUCCCCCCCUCCUCCCCCCUAACCCCCAAGCCCCGCCAAUACGAGACAAUGACUACUAUUACUACUACUAUUAUUAUUAUUAUUAUUAUUGCUGUACAUUUUCUACUUUAAGAUACGGACAGGAUUUUAUUUUUUAUUUUAUUUAUUUUUUCCGUUUUAGAUUUUAAGAGUCCGUUGAAUUGUAUAUAUUUUGCCGAUUUCAUUCGCGUUCCGAUAUAUUUUGUACAUAAACGGUGGAUAGCCCAGCCAGAGAGAGAGAGAGAGAGAGGUAGCACGCCACACUCACUCAAGCCUUAAGGUCAUAUUAGGGUCAGUUUCCAGUGACCCGUUGACCUUUAUUGCAAUUUAGUUAAGGACGGGGAAAGGCAUGUAAGAACUAUAUCGUGUGUGGAUUUUGUACGAGGUUUUUGUUCUAUCCGCUCUCGUUUGUUUUGUUACGGCACUUAUAUUUGUACGGUGUCCUGCAAGUUACGUAUGACAGGGAGUACUGGAGCGCGAUGUUUGUACUAAGUUUUGGCGCUUAUGAAUAUUCUGAUAAGGGUGGUGUGCUUCUCAGAUACUAUAAGCGUCAGAAAUUUGUUCCUAGGUAUUUGGGUUUAUGCAUUAGUGAUUCGUAGUGUUUAUUGGAAGUCAUGUCGCUUAUGAAUAUUCAGAUAAGGGCAAUGUAUCGGUACUUCUCAAAUACUAUAAGCAUCAUAAAUCUGUUUCUAGGUAUUUGGGUUCAUACAUCAGUGAUUUGUAGUGUUUAUUGGAAGUCAUGUCGCUUAUGAAUAUUCAGAUAAGGGUGAUGCACUUCUCAAAUACUAUAAGCGUCAUAAUCUGUUUCUUGGUACUCAUUUUCAUACAUCAGUUAAUCGUUGCGUUUAUUGGAAGUCGUGGCAGUUAUGAAUAUUCAGGUAAAGGUGAUGCCCUUCUCAAAUACUAUAAGCGUCAUAAAUCUGUUUCUAGGUAUUCGUUUUCAUACAUCAGUUAAUCGUUGUGUUUAUUGGAAAUCAUGUCGCUUAUGAAUAUUCAGAUAAGGGUGAUGCACUUCUCAAAUACUAUAAGCGUCAUAAAUCUGUUUCUAGGUAUUUGGGUUCAUACAUCAGUGAAUCGUUGUGUUUAUUGGAAGUCAUGUCGCUUAUGAAUAUUCAGGUAAAGGUGAUGCCCUUCUCAAAUACUAUAAGCGUCAUAAUCUGUUUCUUGGUACUCAUUUUCAUACAUCAGUUAAUCGUUGUGUUUAUUGGAAGUGGUGGUGGAAGUCGUGGCGCCUAUAGAUAUAUUCGGAUAAGUAUGCCGUACGCCUCAAAUAUAGACGACAUGAAAUUGUAAGUCCUUGGUUUCGUAUGAAGGAGGCGAUUUAUAUGCAAGGAUGAUAAUGCCCUUUCUUUUCCUCCUCUUCCUUUUUUUCCUUCCUCUGUGCGUAGUUAUGAUUCUAUGAUUUCAUAUGACGGAGGCGACUCGUAUGCAAAAGAUUAUAAUGUCCGUUCUCCUCCUUCUGUUAAAAGUUAUUCCUGUGCUUGGAGUUGUGAUUCUUGUUUGAUUUCAUUUGGAGGAGGAGGACACUUGUAUGCAAAGAUAACUCACUUCUUCUUUUUCUUAGUUCCUUUCCUUCUUUUUCUUCAUUGUCUUCUCCUCCUCCUUUUUCUUCUUCGUUUUCUUCUUCUAAAUAUAACUUUCAACAUCUGUACGUAUAUUGGCUAUUUAGUAAAGGCGCAAUCCUCACCACUUCCAACAUCAUGCACUUCAGUUUUCCUUGUCAUACUUAACUUGCAAGACAACCCAGUAUACCCUAUUCACGUUAGCUAGGCGAAUAGGCUCCGCCCCCUUCCCAUCAUUGGCCAGCCCGCAAGCAAGCCACGCCCACUCAAACUCAGGCUGGAUGUGAUUGGUGGGACGCAGGGAAAGGCGAAAUCCUAUUGGUCGCUGCUAGGCUAUGGGCGGGGCUUACUUUCCAGGUUAAAAUUAAUAGGGUAUCUAUCUUUUCGUACUUAGAGAGAGAGGAAGAGAGUGAGUGAGAGAGAGUAAGGAAGUGUUAGUGUUCGUCAUUCUAUCCAUACAUUGCCUUAGAAUACUUUAUAGAGAAGGAAUGCCGUGUGCCGUGUGGGGCGGGGCGGGGCUUAAGAAAGGGGAGGAGCUUAGGGGUAAGGGGUUGCCAUAUAGCCCCCGCCCCUUCCUUCGCGCCCCAGCCUCGCCCCUAGCCCCAAGCCCUGCCGUGGGUGUGUACUGUCAAGAGGAAUAAUAAAAUGUCAUGUGA